rnacentral:rRNA from 1 species
UACGGGGGGGGCAAGCGUUGUUCGGAAUUACUGGGCGUAAAGGGCUCGUAGGUGGCCAACUAAGUCGGACGUGAAAUCCCUCGGCUUAACCGGGGAACUGCGUCCGAUACUGGUUGGCUUGAGUUUGGGAGAGGGAUGCGGAAUUCCAGGUGUAGCGGUGAAAUGCGUAGAUAUCAGGUGGAAUACCGGUGGCGAAGGCGGCCAAUUGGCCCAACACUGACGCUGAGAUACGAAAGCGUGGGGAUCAAACAGG